rnacentral:lncRNA from 1 species
CAAGAAAAUUGGUUCCUAGAAUUUCAUUGAGGUUCAAUUAUAAAGCAUUGUACCAUCUAAUGGCCUCCAUUAGUCAUCUCUUAUUUCCAUUUUCACUUACAUCAAGAUGAACUACUGACCCUUUAACAGCAACAUACCUAAAGGCUAAAGCAAAGAUGCAAGUAAAUAGAGCAACAAAGAAUUUCAUGAGCAGCAGCUUGAAUGCAAAACCAACCUCUCGACCAACCAAGUUGUGUGGAAUUUGUCAAUUUACACGAAUAAAUCGUUACAAAAGAUAAACUUUAGAAGUAGAUCUACAAAAACUAAAACAAUUUUGUGCACGACUACUACAAAGAAUCAAUCAUAUAAAAUUACAUCCAUAAUAUACGAAACGUAAUCAAGAAGUCUCAAACAAACAAUAACCAAAAGCAGAGAUUGGUCUUCGACGGCAAAAUCCAUAAUAUGAAUGGAGAGGGUUGUGGAUUAUGUUC